rnacentral:lncRNA from 1 species
CUCUUCCUUUUUAAUAGAUUUUCAAGAUGGGAAAAUCAUAUUGCAACCCACAGGCAUUUGGAAACAAUUUGUGCCGAAGACAGAAAGUACACCUAACGUUAAGCUGAAAAAACUGGACGCUCCCAGCAAACUCACUUUGCAGACUCCUGGUUGUCAGAAGAAAACGCCAGAGGAUUUCACUUGGCAUUGACCUCUUACUACUUCCAGCCACUUACCCUGGGCAGUAGAAAGAAGGAACAGAAAGCAGAGUAGAUUAAGAGGAGCAAGUACAAAUGGCGUGGGACUUCAAAUCACCACCUAAGAUUACUUCUUUGAUUUCUGAAAAAGUAGGUCAAAGGAAGAUGUCAGGGGCAAGAAACCAAUUGGGUGUUGUGCCUAAGAACGUGGACCCUGUGGCCAGACUGCUUGGAUCAGUGUCCUCCCUCCACCACUUUGUAGCCAUCUGACCUCAGUGGCAGCUUCAUGGAUUGUCUUCUACCCUGUCAAAGAAGAGAGUUGGGGUGUUUGACAGCAAAGAAAUUUAGGAGAAUUUCAGAGCAGAAAAGGACUUUGUACAUCAUAGUUUCCAAACUUCUUAUUUUACCGCUGUGGAUACUGAGGUUCACAGGUGGUUUAACUUGCCGAAAGUCAUGGGGUUAGCCAAUAGCUUCUGCGAAAUUAAGCUAUACCCAACUUUUACAGUUUGUAUCACAUGAAGUUUCAAUCACACAAUCUUCUUGGAUCCUUGCAACAGCUGCAUGAUGGUACUAGAACCA